GGAAACAGAUGCUAAUACCGCAUAAACCUAGCACCGCAUGGUGCAGGGUUGAAAGAUGGUUUCAGCUAUCACUUUAGGAUGGACCCGCGGUGCAUUAGUUAGUUGGUGAGGUAAAGGCUCACCAAGACCGUGAUGCAUAGCCGACCUGAGAGGGUAAUCGGCCACACUGGGACUGAGACACGGCCCAGACUCCUACGGGAGGCAGCAGUAGGGAAUCUUCCACAAUGGACGAAAGUCUGAUGGAGCAACGCCGCGUGAGUGAAGAAGGUUUUCGGAUCGUAAACUCUGUUGUUGGAGAAGAAUGUAUCUGAUAGUAACUGAUCAGGUAGUGACGGUAUCCAACCAGAAAGCCACGGCUAACUACGUG
rnacentral:rRNA from 1 species